UACGGGGGGAGCAAGCGUUGUUCGGAUUUACUGGGCGUAAAGGGCGCGUAGGCGGCGUGACAAGUCACUUGUGAAAUCUCCGGGCUUAACCCGGAGCGGCCAAGUGAUACUGUCGUGCUAGAGUGCGGAAGGGGCUACUGGAAUUCUCGGUGUAGCGGUGAAAUGCGUAGAUAUCGAGAGGAACACCUGCGGCGAAGGCGGGUAGCUGGGCCGACACUGACGCUGAGGCGCGAAAGCUAGGGGAGCGAACGGG
rnacentral:rRNA from 1 species